UACGAAGGGGGCUAGCGUUGCCCGGAAUCACUGGGCGUAAAGCGCACGUAGGCGGCUUGUUAAGUCAGGGGUGAAAUCCCGGAGCUCAACUCCGGAACUGCCUUUGAUACUGGCGAUCUUGAGUCCGGGAGAGGUGAGUGGAACUGCGAGUGUAGAGGUGAAAUUCGUAGAUAUUCGCAAGAACACCAGUGGCGAAGGCGGCUCACUGGCCCGGUACUGACGCUGAGGUGCGAAAGCGUGGGGAGCAAACAGG
rnacentral:rRNA from 1 species